rnacentral:lncRNA from 1 species
UUCUCGAUCUUCAGUUCACUACUUCACCACCCUCUUAUUUAUUCCUUCUCUUGCGGCGGUGGUGUGGGGUGGUGGUGGUGGUGGUGGUUGUUGAAGGAAUCAAAUGGUGUGUUGUCUGCCAUUUGUUAUAUUUCAUCGAUCCAUUUCAUUACGUUCACCCCCCUCUGUUUCCAUCGCAUUAAGAACCACUCAAUGAAGAUCAGCGCUCACAAUUGGGUCUGCAUAGGCAGGGGACUGCACCUGGUCUGGUUCCUUAAAUAAACUGCUGAUUUACCCCCAGAUUUUGAAGGAAACAAUGAGCGGAUUGGAUUGGGUGGUUUGCAAAGAUGGGGCCGCAAAAGAGUUGACUGAACAGCACGUGUUUUUGAUAUAUUAUGAACUAGAGAUUUGCCUUGAGAGUGGUUUGUACAUAUUAACUUGAUACAAGUUUUUUUUUAUCAAUAAACUUUGUUUUGUGUAAUUUUGACCACGGGUGUGAACCAUGUUGGGUCGGCGGAUCGAGUUGUUCAACCUGAACACGACCCUUAUAUUUAUUCGUGUGAAAAACAUUAACCUUGUCUUGGUCACACUUUAAAAACAUUAACAAUUUAUUCGUAUGAAAAACAUUAACCACGGGUGUAACCUGAACGACCUGGUUUGUCUAUAUGUGUCAAAUAGGUUGGAAGGUAGUUAUAAACUUUGUGGGUUUAAAAAUAGGGUUAAAUGGGUUGGUGGCUUUACAUGUAUAACUAAACGGCUUAAAAAGGUCAACUCGAACACAACCUGUUUGAUUAAACAGGCCAACCCAAGCAUGAAUCGUUUAGUAAAUGGGCUAGAUAUUCAUGUCGAGUUUCGGUUAAGUUCUAACUGUCGUCACCCCCAAUUUUGACAUUUUGGCUUUGAAUGGUAUCAACUCCGCUUUUCAAAUUUGCUUUAAUCAUCAGUUUACAUUAUCAACGAUUUGAGUUUCAUAUACUGUAUACUUUCUGAAUGGUUUAUGGUAGUGACAUAUGUACUAUUCUAUGUAUUUAAUAAAGUUGGUGAAUUUAUGUGAAAUUUCACUUUCAUCGGUAUGGUUAGAGUUUGUGGGUAUGGCAUUUGUUUUACUUAGUUUUCAGUAUAUGCGCUCUGAGGCAAAUGGCUCGGUCACAUAACGGGUCAAAAUACAAGUUUAUAUACGGGUAUUAAUUGUUGCUGAGUUGAAUGGGUUGAACAUGUAAUGCAUUUAACGCACUCAGCCACAACGCAUGGGUAAUCAUACUAGAGUUGCCAAUUCUGAUUCGUUUACUUAUAAUGUGAGGUUUGGGUGUAUCAGUAGGUGGGUGGCCAACAUUUUACCAGUGAUGGACUUUGUAUACUUAUGAAUGGUUAAUUGUCAGGUGGCUUAAGCCGUAGCUCUUGUGAACCAAAAUAUGAUAUGGAGUUCCACACAGAAGAUUCACCAUUUCUUCCUGUAAUUCGAUGACUGAUGAAGGUUACUUAAAAGGUGACAAAACGUGUGGGUUAGUCGGGUUUGGUAAGUAGUGACAGGUUAAAUGGGGGCAAAACAUGUCAUUUAUUGUGUACAGAUCAAUACUGGUCGCAAUGGUCUAAAAAGAUAUUUUUCCUUCUAACCUUUUUAAUACCCGAUGUAUUAAUUUUGAAUACAAGAACGGAAGUUUGACUUUGUAUGGAUUACUUGAUAUAAAAAGGCGCCCAAAUUGUCCCAUUCAGUUUCUUGAUAGGCCGAUAGUUGUUUGGAUAAUUGGUCAAAAUGGUUUGUACUCAAAAUCUUUUUUUUUAUUUGCAUAGUGUUAUGUUGUUUAUUUAUAUUUUAAGGUGAUUGCAAUAUUGGUUCAGUAAGAUAAUUAUUGAUGAUUGUACACAUUUAUCACUAUUGAUAGCUAGUUUUAUGUAAUAUUAUACAAGAAAUCUACAGUUUAACUUUAGAUUUUUUUAUGGGAAAAUUAAUGAAUGACAUAGGUCACUUAAGAUGGGAAGCAAAGCACUACCUGGUUGUCACUUGUCAGUGGGCAAAUUCUGUGUGAAAUGGAACUUCCACCAGGUGAAGGACGGGUCUCAUGAAGGCUACAUAAAUUAAGUGGGACUAGAGCUGCUACCGCUAUACCUAAAGACGACUCGAUUGUUGAUAGUCGUUUCAUGCACGAGAAAUUUGCAGUUAGUGAUCCAUCGGAAGCUCCUUUGAAUGUUGCCACUCCACUCCACUCCACUCCACUGAAAGUCAGCUCUUUUAGUAUAUCGAGUAGCACGCUUUCUUAUGCUUAGUCAGUGGUUUUUGUUUAUUUCUUAAUCUUCUUAGUAGUUAAUUCUUUUAAACGAUAUCAUCGAAAAGUUGACUGUACUUAACUUGUUAGAAACAAGAUAUUCGAAACAACGGAAAACAAGCACAGUGUUGUAAACUAGCGUUUGAUAUGUAUUUACUUAUGCAUACAUUCUUUUAUAUACUUCACUAUUU